rnacentral:rRNA from 1 species
AUUGAACGCUGGCGGCAUGCCUUACACAUGCAAGUCGAACGGCAGCACGGGAGCAAUCCUGGUGGCGAGUGGCGAACGGGUGAGUAGUACAUCGGAACGUGCCUAGUAGUGGGGGAUAGCCCGGCGGAAGCCGGAUUAAUACCGCAUACGACCUGAGGGUGAAAGCGGGGGAUCGCAAGACCUCGCGCUAUCAGAGCGGCCGAUGCCAGAUUAGGUAGUUGGUGGGGUAAAAGCCUACCAAGCCGACGAUCUGUAGCUGGUCUGAGAGGACGACCAGCCACACUGGGACUGAGACACGGCCCAGACUCCUACGGGAGGCAGCAGUGGGGAAUUUUGGACAAUGGGCGCAAGCCUGAUCCAGCCAUGCCGCGUGCAGGAAGAAGGCCUUCGGGUUGUAAACUGCUUUUGUCAGGGAAGAAAAGUUCUGGGCUAAUACCCCGGAGCGAUGACGGUACCUGAAGAAUAAGCACCGGCUAACUACGUGCCAGCCGCCGCGGUAA